UGGGGGAUAUUGCACAAUGGGCGCAAGCCUGAUGCAGCGACGCCGCGUGGGGGAUGAAGGCCUUCGGGUUGUAAACUUCUUUUGCUCUGAACAAGGCGCACUUUGGGGUGUGUUGAGUGUAGGGGUUGAUUAGCGCCGGCUAACGACGUGCCAGCAGCCGCGGUAAUACGUAGGGCGCGAGCGUUGUCCGGAAUUAUUGGGCGUAAAGGGCUUGUAGGUGGCUGGUUGCGUCUGUCGUGAAAGCUCAUGGCUUAACUGUGGGUUUGCGGUGGGUACGGGCUGGCUUGAGUGCAGUAGGGGGGGCUGGAAUUCCUGGUGUAGCGGUGGAAUGCGCAGAUAUCAGGAGGAAUACCGGUGGCGAAGGCGGGUCUCUGGGCUGUUACUGACACUGAGGAGCGAAAGCAUGGGGAGCGAACAGG
rnacentral:rRNA from 1 species